GAUGAACGCUGGCGGCGUGCCUAAUACAUGCAAGUCGAGCGGACGGACGAGAAGCUUGCUUCUCUGAUGUUAGCGGCGGACGGGUGAUUCACACGUGGAUAACCUACCUUUAAGACUGAGAUCACUUCGGGAAACCUGAGCUCAUACCGGAUAAUAUUUUGAACCGCAUGGUUCAAAAGUGAACGACGGACUUGCUGUCACUUAUAGAUGGAUCCGCGCUGCAUUAGCUAGUUGGUACGGUAACGGCUUACCAAGGCGACGAUGCGUAGCCGACCUGAGAGGGUGAUCGGCCACACUGGAACUGAGACACGGUCCAGACUCCUACGGGAGGCAGCAGUAGGGAAUCUUGCGCAAUGGGCGAAAGCCUGACGCAGCAACGCCGCGUGUGUGAUGAAGGUCUUCGGAUCGUAAAACUCUUUUAUUAGGGAAGAACAUAUGUGUAAGUAACCGUGCACAUCUUGACGUUACCUAAUCAGAAAGCCACGGCUAACUACGUG
rnacentral:rRNA from 1 species